GACGAAGGAUGCAAGCGUUAUCCGGAUUCAUUGGGUUUAAAGGGAGCGUAGGUGGCCUUAUAAGUCAGUGGUGAAAUCCCUCGGCUUAACUGAGAAAUUGCCAUUGAUACUGUAGGGCUUGAGUACAGUUGCUGUGGGCGGAAUAUGACAUGUAGUGGUGAAAUACAUAGAGAUGUCAUAGAACACCGAUUGCGAAGGCAGCUCACAAAACUGUAACUGACACUGAGGCUCGAAAGUGCGGGGAUCAAACAGG
rnacentral:rRNA from 1 species